rnacentral:rRNA from 1 species
AGCGAACGUUAGCGGCGGGCCUAACACAUGCAAGUCGAACGAGAAAGGGGCUUCGGCCCUUAGUAAAGUGGCGAACGGGUGAGUAACACGUGGGCAAUCUGCCCUUCUGUUGGGGAUAACCUUCCGAAAGGAUGGCUAAUACCGAAUACGUCGCCGAGGACUCCGGUCUUUGGCGGGAAAGCCGACCACUUCAUGAACGCUGGCGCAGUAGGAGGAACCCGCGUCCCAUCAGCUAGUUGGUAGGGUAAAAGCCCAACAAGACGAAAACGGGUUGCUGGUCUGAGAGGAUGAUCAGCCACACUGGGACGGAGACACGGCACAGACUCCUACGGGAGGCAGCAGUGGGGAAUUUUGCGCAAUGGGCGAAAGCCUGACGCAGAAACGCCGCGUGUGUGAUGAAGGUCUUUGGAUUGUAAAGCACUUUCGACCGGGAAGAACACCCGAAGGAGCCAUACCCUUCGGUCUGACGGUACCGGGAGAAGAAGCACCGGCUAACUCUGUGCCAGCAGCCGCCGUAAAAC